AUAAGCAAAAAAUUGGAAAUGAGAAGUAACUUAUUCACAGGCUGAUACUCCUUCCACCUUCUUUACAAGUGAGAAAAUUAGAUAAAUUUCUCUGUUAGAUUUUUUUUUUUAAUUUGUAUAAAACUAGGAUAAAUCAGCAAAGCGAGCAAUUCUUCUACAUCUAACUAUCUGCAAUUAAUAAUAGAAAAAAAAACAGUAUCAAACAAUCAAAUAUCAGUUCCAUCCAAUUUCUUUUCUUUCCCCAAAUAUUCACAACUAAUGAAUCACAAAAGGUUCUCCAAAUUCUGCCUUGAAAUGCACCAUUAUAAUCCCCCACGAAAGCUUAAAUUUUACCAUAUACCAAUUAUCAAUAGCUCAGCUCAGAAUCACCAAAUAGCAACGAUAAAAAUGACGCACCAUUGCAGUAAGAAAGCGCAUCAA
rnacentral:misc_RNA from 1 species